UUAUUUAUACCUGUCAUGUGUUGAGUAUUGUGUAUCCGAAAAUUAAAAAGAAUAAAAAUCUCUUAUCGUGGUUUUUCUCCCUGAUCUAGGGUUUUCACGUAAAUCUGUGUUUUUUCUUCUCUUCUCUUUUCAAUAUGGUAUCAGAACAUGGCGACGAAACCGAUGAGAACAAGCCAGAGACUCCGACAACAACCUUCGUUUUAACGGGGAGAUCCAUGAACGCUGAAGUUGCCACAGCCAUACGAGAAGCCGUUAAGCAUUAUUUUCACGCCGCGCUACCUCAACUCAUCCGAUUUGUGUCAGAUUCGACCUCUAGCCAGUGGACUCCCUCAGUAGAACCGACCGAUCAAGCCCAUAGACUCGAGCUCCAGCGCUGCGAUUCAGUCGCCGGUGUCCCUCUCCUACACAGUGAUCGAUCGAAGUCUCGCCGUCCGCGACCCAACCGAUCACCCGCGCGCGGUUCUUCCUCAGAUUUAGCCGAUGCAGGGACAACCACCAGCCACGGGCAUUUUCGCAUAGCCCGACUUCGCCUCUGCUCGUGACUGUCGAUUUUCAGUCGCCGACCUUCAGCCUCUGUUUGUGAGUCAGUCGCCAGCCCUAGCACCCAUACCAGACCGUCCCUCUGUUGCGUGGAUGACCCAACCUCCUAAGUUGGUCCAGCUGGUCCAACCGAACCAACCGGUUCAAUUGAACCCGGUCCAGCCAGCAUGUUCAGACCAUUCCUAGCCCUUCUUUUGGUCCUUUCUCUAGCCAAAAUGAAGCUACUUUUAGGGAUUUAUGGGCAAAACCAACCUACGGCAAAUUUUGGUGGAACCGUCGACUUUGAACAACAGUUGGCAAACUUAUAACAGCAAAUAUCGGCUCUUAGAUCCACAACAAGUUCUGCGACUGUUUUCAUCCACAUCCACAUCCACAUUUAGACUUCUCUUUAUGCUCAGAAACACCGGUAAAUGCUUACUCUACUUUACCUAUAGCAAAUAUUAUGUUUGGUUCUGUGGGAAACUCUGCAGGGAUUUCUAUUGGUGAGAAACUUAACGGCCAAAAUUACUUCUCUUGGUCCCAAUUGGUGAGAAUGGUCCUUGAGGGACGUCACAAGUUCGGGUAUCUAACUGGAGAAAUACCAAGACCGAAUCCCGGUGAUCCCUAGGAACGUAUAUGGAAAGGAGAGGAUUCUCUUCUUCGCUCAAUUAUGAUAAACCGCAUAGAACCCUAGAUUGGGAAGCCACAUCUGUACUCAACCUCCGCUCAGGAUAUUUGGCAAGUUGUCUUCAGCUCUAUUUGAAGAGGCAAAAUGCCUCACGUCUCUAUACCUUGAGGAAACAUGUUCACGAGUGCAAACAAGGGACUCUUGACGUAAUGUCUUAUUUCAAUAAAUUGUCCUUGCUAUAGCAAGAAAUGGAUUUGUGCCGCGAAGUCGUGUGGAAUUGUCCUGUCGAGGGAGUUUAGUACUCAAAGAUUGAGGAGGCGGAUCGAGCGUAUGAUUUUCUGGUUGGCUUAAACCCUAAAUUUGAUGGUGUCCGAAGUCGGAUUUUGGGACAGAGACCAAUACCGUCUCUGAUGGAAGUAUGCUCAGAAGUCAGGUUAGAAGAGGACAAAACCAGUGCUAUGAGUGGCACUAGCAUCACCCACUUAGACUCUGCUACGUUUGGAGCCAAGUCCUUGUGACCGGAAAGUGACAAACAAAACGGAAAGUCACCACCAAUCUGUGAGUACUGUAAGAAACCGUGGCACACCAAAGAUCAAUGCUGGAAAUUACACGGUUGCCCACCUAAUGGCAAGCGACGGCUUGCGAAUGAUAAAUCUAAAAUCGGUCGGGCCCUUGUCAGUGAAACAGGGGAUGGUACGUCAUCAGUCACCAGCCAGGUAGAGUCAAGUAUGGUUGGAACUGGCAAUGUCGCGCAAUCAGGAAACGAGAGAAUACGAAUUGCAGAUGGGUCCUUUGCCUCCGUUGCUGGGAAAGGACCUGAGCUCGGGGAAGACGAUUGACAUUGCCUGGCACAAUAGGGGGCUCUACUUCCUCUCGGAGGAUGCUUCCUCUAGGAGUUUAUCUAGCACUUGUUUACUGUCUUCCCUUACUAUUUCUGAAACUGAUUUCUUGUUAUGGCAUUUUCGUCUUGGACAUCCAAAUUUUCAUUAUAUGAAGUAUCUGUUUCCACAUUUAUUUCGUAAUGUUAAUAUUUCAUCUUUAUCUUGCGAUGUGUGUAUUUGUGCAAAACAACCUCGGGUGUCUUACUUCCCAGCCUUACAAACCUUCCCAACCUUUCCACCUGAUACAUAGUGACGUGUGGGGCCCAUCUAAUAUCACAACCGUGUCGAGUAAACGGUGGUUUGUCACCUUCAUAGAUGAUCACACCCGUCUUACAUGGGUGUUCCUUUCUACGGAUAAGUUCGAAGUGACUACAGUCUUUCAGUAAUUUUACACCACUGUCGAUACCCAGUUCAAUGCCAAAAUUGCUAUCCUUCGGAGUGACAAUGGUCGUGAGUUCGUUAACCAAUCCCUUCGUGAUUUUUAAACUCAAAGGUAUCAUCCACCAAGAACUCCUGUGCCUAUACACCACAACAAAAUGGGGUUGGCCGAACGAAAAAACUGUCACCUUAUUGAGGUUGCUCAGGCACUCAUGAUCCCUGGCUCCUACUCUCGUACAUAUGGGGAGAUGCUGUACUCACUGCAACCCAUCUCAUAAAUCGAAUGCCUUCCCACGUUCUCAAGUUCCAGACUCCCUUAGCUCAUUUCAAAGAGUCCCUCUUCUACCUGUCUUUUCCCAAAUGUUCCUCUUUUGGGUGUUUGGGUGUACGGUUUUUGUCCAUAGUCAUGGUACCAAAGUAAGUUUGCUCCUAUGGCCCAAAAUGUGUCUUUGUUGGGUAACCACUCCAUCAACGGGGCUACAAAUGUUAUCAGUCGUCUUCUCAAAAGUACUUAUCACCAUGAAUGCCACCUUUCGAGAAGAUAAACCUUUCUUUCCCGUUAGUCCUCUUCAGGGGUAGACUUCGAGUGAAGAGGCUAACACGAGUCGUCCACUUAUUCCAUUCCCGUAGACUUGUUUCUCGAACCCAUUCCUGGCACUAAUAAUCCUGGCCCACCCAUUCCUAACAAUCCUAUCCUUCCUACAAAACAAGUUCCUUAGAUAACCUACUAUCGGAAGAAUCUACGAAAGGAAAUAGUCCUCGAAAUAGUUCCCCUGUUCUCCGUCGGAAGGUGUUCAAGAGUCAGAACCAGAGCCAGCUCAAGGUAACCAUACUCUUGAUAAUAAUAAAUCUGUUGAAAGUAAUGUGUGAACACUAGCGAUGCAGCGAACUUUGGCAAAAUUAGGGAGGAUAAGAUAAUGAAUUUCCCCCUGAUGAUGUUCAGGAGACUGAAAAUGUGCAGCAGAUGAAUACAGAGGAAAAGGGUGACAGGACCAGUGAGAUUGAUGCUACCUGGACUUACCAAUUGCUCUACGAAAGGGAACGAGGUCCUGCACCAAGCACUCUAUGAAAAGCUUCUUAUCUAACAGUAGCUUGUCAAUAAGAUUCAAGGCCUUCACCAUUAGUCUGGACACCAUGCCAAUUCCGGGAAAUGUGUACAAGGCUCUGGAAAUUCUUGAAGGUGAACCGUAAUUAUGAAAGAGAUGCGAGCCCUCAAGACCAACAAAGCAUGAGAUCUAGUUGCUCUUCUCAGAGGUCAUAAAACAGUCGGGUGCAAAAUGGGUAUUCAAAGUCAAAUACAAGUCCGAUGGGACUCUCGACAGAUAUAAGGUCAGAUUGGUUGCGAAAGGAUUCACUCAAACGUAUGGGGUGGAUUACUCAGAAACCUUCUUGUCGGUGGUAAAACUUAACACUAGUCGGGUUCUCCCCUCUGUUGCUGUGAACCUAG